GAUGUUAAGAAAAGUUGUUCGUCUUGAUGAGGGCAACAACUUUUCUUAAUAUCUUUUUAACAAAUUAUUCGUAUUUAAGGAGAUAGGACUGCGCAUGCGCAGAAAGUAACUCCUUACGCUUGCAUAUUUUGGUAAGAAGAUAUUACCAAAAGUUGUUCGUCUUGAUGAGGGCAACAACUUUGCUUAAUAUC
rnacentral:miRNA from 1 species